rnacentral:ncRNA from 2 species
UAAUUUUGCAGACUGUAAGGUGUUCCCCCAUGGGAAGUAAAAGGGAAUCCGGUGUGAAUCCGGAACAGUACCCGCUGCUGUAAGGCAUAUUCCAUACAUCUCGUCAAAGCCACUGAUAUUAUUUGGGAAGGCUGAGCUGUUGUGCCGAGUCAGAAAACCUGCCUUACCCUACUUUAUCAU